rnacentral:rRNA from 1 species
UACGUAGGGUGCAAGCGUUGUCCGGAAUUAUUGGGCGUAAAGCGCACGUAGGCGGAUAUGUCAGUCAGGGGUGAAAUCCCGGGGCUCAACCUCGGAACUGCCCUUGAUACAGCAUAUCUUGAGUCCGAUAGAGGUGGGUGGAAUUCCUAGUGUAGAGGUGAAAUUCGUAGAUAUUAGGAAGAACACCGGUGGCGAAGGCGGCCCACUGGAUCGGUACUGACGCUGAGGUGCGAAAGCGUGGGGAGCAAACAGG